AUUACCGCGGCUGCUGGCACAGAGUUAGCCGGUGCUUAUUCUGUCGGUAACGUCAAAACAGCAAGGUAUUAGCUUACUGCCCUUCCUCCCAACUUAAAGUGCUUUACAAUCCGAAGACCUUCUUCACACACGCGGCAUGGCUGGAUCAGGCUUUCGCCCAUUGUCCAAUAUUCCCCACUGCUGCCUCCCGUAGGAGUCUGGACCGUGUCUCAGUUCCAGUGUGGCUGGUCAUCCUCUCAGACCAGUUACGGAUCGUCGCCUUGGUGAGCCAUUACCUCACCAACUAGCUAAUCCGACCUAGGCUCAUCUGAUAGCGCAAGGCCCGAAGGUCCCCCUCUUUGGUCUUGCGACGUUAUGCGGUAUUAGCCACCGUUUCCAGUGGUUAUCCCCCUCUAUCGGGCAGAUCCCCAGACAUUACUCACCCGUCCGCCACUCGUCACCCAAGAGCAAGCUCUCUGUGCUACCGUCCGACUUGCAUGUGUUAGGCCUGCCGCCAGCGUUCAAUCUGAGCCAGGAUCAAACUCU
rnacentral:rRNA from 1 species